GCAUAUCAAUAAGCGGAGGAAAAGAAACUAACAAGGAUUCCCUUAGUAACGGCGAGUGAAGAGGGAAGAGCUCAAAUUUUAAAUCUACCAUGUUUGUACAUGAUCGAGUUGUAAUUUGAAGAAGCGUUUUCUCGUACUUUAUGCAAUCAGUAUAAGUUCUCUUGGAACAGGACAUCAUAGAGGGUGAUAAUCCCGUCUGUUACUGGUUGUGAGGUUCGUUAUGAUACGCUUUCAAAGAGUCGAGUUGUUUGGGAUUGCAGCUCCAAAUGGGUGGUAAACAUCACCUAAGGCUAAAUAUUUGCGAGAGACCGAUAGCGAACAAGUACCGUGAGGGAAAGAUGAAAAGAACUUUGAAAAGAGAGUUAAAAAGUAUGUGAAAUUGUUGAAAGGGAAACGAUUGAAGUCAGUCGUGCAGUCAUCAAUUCAGCGGUUAACAUUUUAUGUUUCCGUGUAAUUUGGUGUCUGUUGGUUGGCAUCAAUUUUGAUUGUUAUAAAAAGGUUAAGGGGAUGUGGCUCCUUCGGGAGUGUUAUAACCCUUAGCGUAAUGUGACGAUUAGGAUUGAGGUUUGCAACGAAUACCUUUUAGGGCAGUUUCACCUGGCCUCUCGUGGAAUUAUAGAUAGUUAAGAGCAUGCUCUUACUGUCUAUGAUUCUACGAAAAGGUUGGAGUGUAAAACUAAUUCGUUAAGGAUGUUGACGUA
rnacentral:rRNA from 1 species